GAUGAACGCUGGCGGCGUGCCUAAUACAUGCAAGUCGAGCGAACAGACGAGGAGCUUGCUCCUCUGACGUUAGCGGCGGACGGGUGAGUAACACGUGGAUAACCUACCUAUAAGACUUGGAUAAUUUCGGGAAACCGGAGCUAAUACCGGAUAAUAUAUUGAACCGCAUGGUUCAAUAGUCAAAGACGGUUUUGCUGUCACUUAUAGAUGGAUCCGCGCCGCAUUAGCUAGUUGGUAAGGUAACGGCUUACCAAGGCAACGAUGAGUAGCCGACCUGAGAGGGUGAUCGGCCACACUGGAACUGAGACACGGUCCAGACUCCUACGGGAGGCAGCAGUAGGGAAUCUUCCGCAAUGGGCGAAAGCCUGACGGAGCAACGCCGCGUGAGUGAUGAAGGUCUUCGGAUCGUAAAACUCUGUUAUUAGGGAAGAACAAAUGUGUAAGUAACUAUGCACGUCUUGACGGUACCUAAUCAGAAAGCCACGGCUAACUACGUG
rnacentral:rRNA from 1 species